GAUGAACGCUGGCGGCGUGCCUAAUACAUGCAAGUCGAGCGAACGGACGAGAAGCUUGCUUCUCUGAUGUUAGCGGCGGACGGGUGAGUAACACGUGGAUAACCUACCUAUAAGACUGGGAUAACUUCGGGAAACCGGAGCUAAUACCGGAUAAUAUUUUGAACCGCAUGGUUCAAAAGUGAAAGACGGUCUUGCUGUCACUUAUAGAUGGAUCCGCGCUGCAUUGGCUAGUUGGUAAGGUAACGGCUUACCAAGGCAACGAUGCAUAGCCGACCUGAGAGGGUGGUCGCCGACCUGGGAACGUGGCCACGGUCCAGACUCCUGCGGGAGGCAGCAGUAGGGAAUCUUCCGCAAUGGGCGAAAGCAUGACGGAGCGACGCCGCGUGAGUUAUGAAGGUCUUCGGAUCGUAAAACUCUGUUAUUGGGGAAGAACAUAUGUGGAAGUAACUGUGCAGAGCGUGACGGUACCUAGUCAGAAAGCCCCGGCUAACUACGUG
rnacentral:rRNA from 1 species